CCUGUAUCCAAUCUUAAUCCCAAAAGAGGAUGUUGCGCAGAGGUCAUGAAAACACUCAUCCAAAUAAAAAGUUUACAGCACCUAGUAUUCCCAGUCAGUCUCCCAAACAUGUACUAACCAGGCCCAACUCUGCUUUGCUUCCGAGGUCAGAUGAGAUCAGGCUUUGUCAGAGUGGUAUGGCUGUAAGCGAAAGCUGACCCCAAAUGGGGCCUAUUUAAAUAGUGUAAUCAAAGGACUGACUGACUGACUGACUGACUGAUUGAUUGUCUGACUGACUGACUGACUGACUGACUGACUGAUUGAUUGAUUGAUUGGGUCCCCUUCAAACCUGUAUCCAAUCUUAAUCCCAAAAGAGGAUGUUGUGCAGAGGUCAUGAAAACACUGAUCCAAAUAAAAAGUUUACAGCACCUAGUAUUCCCAGUCAGUCUCCCAACCAAGUACUAACCAGGCCCAACUCUGCUUUGCUUCCGAGGUCAGAUG
ensembl:lncRNA